rnacentral:rRNA from 1 species
GAUGAACGCUAGCUACAGGCUUAACACAUGCAAGUCGAGGGACAGGCGCACGGGUGAGUAACACGUACACAACCUGCCAUAUACUCGGGGAUAGCCUUCCGCAGGUAAGAUUAAUACCCGAUAUAAAGGAUGGGGAUGCGUUCCAUUAGGUUGUUGGUGAGGUAACGGCCCACCAAGCCUUCGAUGGAUUGGGGUGCUGAGAGGAAGGUCCCCCACAGUGGAACUGAGACACGAUCCAAACUCCGACGGGAGGCAGAAGUGAGGAAUAUUGGUCAAUGGGCGUUAGACUGAACCAGCCAAGUAGCGUGAAGGAUGAAUGCUUAUGGGUCGUAAACUUCUUUUAUAGAAGAAAAUGUAUUAUAUGAAUAAGGAUCGGCUAACUCCGUGCCAGCCGCCGCGGUAAUAC